AAGAUGUUAGUAAAGCAUUUACAUUAUUUUGUCAAAAUAAAAUCACGAGUUAACCGCGUACAUCUUC
rnacentral:tRNA from 1 species